CUUCCCUGCUUGCAGAAGGACUCGGGCCGAGGACUGCGGAGGCACUCUGAGGGCUGAGGCCUGGUGGUGCUCGAGCAUCCCGAGGUGUCAGGAGCUCACGCCACAGGCUGAAACACACGGCAGCAGCUCCUGGGCAGAGCUGGGAGGGAACAUCGCUCUGCUGCUUCCUGCCUCUUGCCACAAGCAAGGUUAAGACAGUCAGAGGAAUAUUUCCAGAAUCAUCAUAAAACCAAACUCCUGCUACCUAGCAGACCAGAAGAUUUCCGUACCCAGCUCACACCUAAGACACAGAUGUGGGCACCCAGCGAUGAGAUUCUCCUCACCUACUAUUAAUCACCCAAUCAUGAGGUGUAAACUAGUGGUUUAAUUCCUCCUGUAGUUAAAGGAGAGAAGCGCCUAUAAAAGCCAGCCCACCUUAUCCUCUUAGCUGCUAUCUUAAGAUGGGAUAAGUCAGUCUCUGAGGUACCCCUGCUUAGGAGCUUAGAGAACACCAAACUCAUGAAUAUCAAGCAGCCAAGAGCAGAAGAUGAAUCCCACCCUCCUGAUGGAGCCUCUCUCACCCAGCUCACCCAGGAGCAGAAUUAAGAAGCUUUAUGACCUUUUAAAAAGGGAGGGGCACUAAUUUGUGGUCCCAAUUCCACCUUGCCUUUGAAAAGGGAAAGCAGUUUCCACAGACCACAGCCCAGCCCCUUUGUAGAGAAGCAGAUAGCACAAGAACCCAUCAAAAAUAAAUAGAUAAACAAAGGAAAGGUGAAAAAGUAACUUGCUCAUUAGCAGAUAAAUUUUAUACUAAGCUGAAAGCAGAUUCAGGAACAAAGCCCUGACCUGACAGCCGGUCCACCCUCUGCAAAUAUUAUGCACCGGGAUGUAAUUAAGGGAUUGUUUUUAAGACAGUACACCAAGAAGAACUUAGCAAUUGAGCCCUGC